rnacentral:rRNA from 1 species
AUGCUUAACACAUGCAAGUCGAACGUGCCUUCGGGCAAGUGGCAGACGGCUGAGUAACGCGUGAGUAACACACCCUUCGGUGGGGUAUAGCCUCGGGAAACUGAGGGUAAUCCCGCAUACGAUCCCUACGCCCUGGUGUAGGGAUGAAAGCCUUCGGGCGCCGGAGGAGUGGCUCGCGUCCUAUCAGGUAGUUGGUGAGGUAACGGCUCACCAAGCCGAUGACGGGUAGCUGGUCUUAGAGGACGAUCAGCCAGAGGGGGACUGAGACACGGCCCCCACUCCUACGGGAGGCAGCAGCAGGGAAUUUUGGGCAAUGGACGAAAGUCUGACCCAGCGACGUCGCGUGGGGGAUGAAGGCUCUAGGGCUGUAAACCCCUUUUCCGAGGGAAGAGGAAGGACGGUACCUCGGGAAUAAGCUCCGGCUAACUACGUGCCAGCAGCCGCGGUAAUACGUAGGGAGCGAGCGUUACCCGGAAUUACUGGGCGUAAAGAGCACGUAGGCGGUUGGAUAAGUCUUCUGUGAAAGCUCCUGGCUCAACUGGGAGAGGUCAGGGGAUACUAUUCGACUUGAGGGCUGUAGAGGUAAGCGGAAUUCCCGGUGUAGCGGUGAAAUGCGUAGAUAUCUGAAGGAACACCAGUGG